UACGGGGGGGGCAAGCGUUGUUCGGAAUUACUGGGCGUAAAGGGCGCGUAGGCGGCUUGGCAAGUGGAAGGUGAAAUCCCUCGGCUUAACCGAGGAACUGCCCUCCAAACUGCUUUGCUUGAGGCCGGGAGAGGUGAGUGGAAUUCCCAGUGUAGCGGUGAAAUGCGUAGAUAUUGGGAGGAACACCAGUGGCGAAGGCGGCUCACUGGACCGGUUCUGACGCUGAGGCGCGAAAGCGUGGGGAGCAAACGGG
rnacentral:rRNA from 1 species